AAGUAAUACACCUUCUGGGUUUACACUAAAAUUAAGAAAGCACAUUCGUACGAGGAGGCUUGAGGAUGUGAGGCAGCUUGGAUAUGAUAGGGUAUAACCUUUCUGGAUCCUUUAAAGACUCUGCCAUUUCCUUUUUCUGUUCCUUGCUGGUGGUUUUACUGUGAGUGCUUUUGUCUUUCUUUUUUCCCCCUUAGAUAGUUCUCUUCCAAUUUGGACUUGCUGCUAACGCACAUUAUGUUAUAUUGGAGUUUUAUGCGCAAGGAAAUAUUCUACUGACUGAUUCUGAUUUUACAAUUCUUACACUUCUUCACUCUCACAGGUUGGUGGUUCUUUACACUUGACCAGGCCCACUAAUAGAAUAAAUUAUUUAAUAUUUCAUACAUUUCUGGCAUGUGAUUUAUUUUUUAAAUUAUGAACUGAUUGACAACUUAUUGAUGACAGGGAUGAUGAUAAAGGGUUUG
rnacentral:misc_RNA from 1 species